rnacentral:rRNA from 1 species
AUUGAACGCUGGCGGCAUGCCUUACACAUGCAAGUCGAACGGUAACAGGUCUUCGGAUGCUGACGAGUGGCGAACGGGUGAGUAAUACAUCGGAACGUGCCCAGACGUGGGGGAUAACGAGGCGAAAGCUUUGCUAAUACCGCAUACGAUCUAAGGAUGAAAGCAGGGGACCGCAAGGCCUGGCGCGUUUGGAGCGGCCGAUGGCAGAUUAGGUAGUUGGUGGGAUAAAAGCUUACCAAGCCGACGAUCUGUAGCUGGUCUGAGAGGACGACCAGCCACACUGGGACUGAGACACGGCCCAGACUCCUACGGGAGGCAGCAGUGGGGAAUUUUGGACAAUGGGCGAAAGCCUGAUCCAGCAAUGCCGCGUGCAGGAUGAAGGCCUUCGGGUUGUAAACUGCUUUUGUACGGAACGAAAAGGCUCUGGCUAAUACCUGGGGCACAUGACGGUACCGGAAGAAUAAGCACCGGCUAACUACGUG